rnacentral:lncRNA from 10 species
AUCUGGUAACUUCUCCAGAAUGAUUUUGUCUCCAAAUUCCUUUGGGUGACACUUGGGAUGUGUGGGGCCAGCAAGUUUCACAAGGGAGAGCAGGCAAGUUUCACAAACAGGACAAACCAGUUUUUUUGUUUCUGUUUUUUAUUUUUAAAUGGAAGGAUAGAUUCUGAAACAGCAUUGGGAAUACUUGUUCCAAUUCGCCUUCCAUUCACCUGCGCUAAGGUGGGUUGGAAGUGUGGAGCUGCCUUCCAUGGGAGUGAAAGUCUGUUUCUAGGAGUCCCUGCCGUGGAUGAAGGGAGGUAUAACAGAUAUAGAACAGUAAUAACCCUGCGGAAACAAGUCCAGCAGAGAUGAAGCAAGCCCCGGAGACCUGGGUGCAUGGGCUUGUGGACUGGCCAUGGUCCAGGAACCUGGACACUCUUGGACCUGGUCCUUGGACCAGUCACUGCCCCAUCUGGUUCGCUCUCCUAGGGCUGUGUGGCUCUGGCGUUUGAAAUUUAGGAUUAGACAGGGAGAGUACCACAGGUUGAGGGGGCAGAGGUUGCAGUGAGCUGAGAGCAUGCCACUGUACUCCAGCCCGGGCAGUGGAGCCAAGAAAAAAAAGAAAUUGUCUCCAGAGUGAAUGAUCCAAGAUGGCUUCCCCAUGAGCUCAUAAUUCAAAUUCUUAGAACACUUGCUGGUUUUAUUUUAUUUUUUU